rnacentral:sRNA from 1 species
GCGGAAACACAGAUCGCUGCGGUCCAC